rnacentral:rRNA from 1 species
GACGAACGCUGGCGGCGUGCUUAACACAUGCAAGUCGAACGGAGUGGCGAACGGGUGAGUAACACGUUGGUGAUCUGCCUUGCACUUCGGGAUCAGCUUGUGAAACUGGGUCUAAUACCGGAUAUUGCAAGAUGAGCUCGCGGCCUAUCAUGUUGUUGGUGGGGUAAUGGCCUACCAAGGCGUCGACGGGUAGCCGGCCUGUGAGGGUGUACGGCCACAUGGGGACUGAGGUACGGCCCAGACGCCUAUGGGGGGCAGCAGUGGGGAAUAGUGCACAAUGGGCGGAAGCCUGAUGAAGCGACGCCGGGUGGGGAAUGAAGGCCUUCGGGUUGUAAACUCCUUUCGACAGGGACGCGGUACCUGUAUAAGAAGCACCGGCUAACUACGUGCCAGCAGCCGCGGUAAUAC